rnacentral:rRNA from 1 species
AACGAACGCUGGCGGCAGGCCUAACACAUGCAAGUCGAACGCCCUAGCAAUAGGGAGUGGCAGACGGGUGAGUAACGCGUGGGAACGUGCCCUUCGGUUCGGAAUAACUCAGGGAAACUUGAGCUAAUACCGGAUACGUUCGAGAGCAGAAAGAUUUAUCGCCGAAGGAUCGGCCCGCGUUGGAUUAGCUAGUUGGUGAGGUAAUGGCUCACCAAGGCGACGAUCGAUAGCUGGUCUGAGAGGAUGAUCAGCCACACUGGGACUCAGACACGGCCCAGACUCCUACGGGAGGCAGCAGUGGGGAAUAUUGGACAAUGGGCGCAAGCCUGAUCCAGCCAUGCCGCGUGAGUGAUGAAGGCCCUAGGGUUGUAAAGCUCUUUCGCCAGGGACGAUAAUGACGGUACCUGGAUAAGAAGCCCCGGCUAACUUCGUGCCAGCCGCCGCAGUAA